AAAGAUUUAAUUCUUGGGUUUCCGUGUUCAACGUUUGAUUGUCUGUCUUAUAUGAAAUUUUUUUAUGAUUAGUAUUUUCAUUAUUGUUAGAUGAUAAAACAUGAAUAAUACUUUAUGCAUGACUUAUCUUUUAAAAUUUUUUUAAAAUUUUUUUAAAUAAGACGAACGGUCAAAGGUUAGACAUGAAAACCCAG
rnacentral:pre_miRNA from 1 species